GUAGGUGGCAAGCGUUGUCCGGAAUUAUUGGGCGUAAAGCGCGCGCAGGCGGUUCUUUAAGUCUGAUGUGAAAGCCCACGGCUCAACCGUGGAGGGUCAUUGGAAACUGGAGAACUUGAGUACAGAAGAGGAAAGCGGAAUUCCACGUGUAGCGGUGAAAUGCGUAGAGAUGUGGAGGAACACCAGUGGCGAAGGCGGCUUUCUGGUCUGUAACUGACGCUGAGGCGCGAAAGCGUGGGGAGCAAACAGGGAUUAGAUACCCUGGUAGUCCACGCCGUAAACGAUGAGUACUAAGUGUUAGGGGGUUUCCCGCCCCUUAGUGCUGCAGCUAACGCAUUAAGCACUCCGCCUGGGGAGUACGGCCGCAAGGCUG
rnacentral:rRNA from 1 species